AAUUUUGUGUGAACUAUUUCAUAAUUGCAGGUAUUAAAACUCUAAAAACCAGCCUCUGGCUGAGCUUGGAAGGCCAAGGCUAAUAGUAAGUGCUCCCAGAGGCCGCCUCCUCCAGGCAGGAGCAGGGAGUGUGGUGUCCUCUUGCCAAAGGCUUGCCUGCCCACUACCAGUUGCCUGACGAUCAGCCUGGAGAAUUAAACUUUCUCUAAAGACCAAUCUUUCUUCCCGGCUUUUCCCCAUUCUCCAGGAUUCUCUGAACAGCCAGGGUCAUCCAGACAUGCCCCACGUGACGUGAGACAGGAGAGAAGCAAUCACUGCACGCUGCUCAGGGUGGUGGGCUGUGGAUGGCUUUCCUUUUUCCCGUUUUCCAGACUUGAGUCAGUUACCAUUUUAAUACCAUUUUAAGAGGCCACAGGCACAAAGCCGGGAUGAAGGACGGCCGACGUGGAGAGUCAGACUCCUGCGGGACAAACCGGAUCUUCUGACAGCUCGGUGACCUGCAGCUUCUCUCCCACCCACGUGCCCUUCCCGUGUCACGUGGCAACUCGCGUCCCCAAACGACGCAGCAGGCGCUUGGGAUCUUUGUUCCGGGGCAGCCGAGGGACAGGAGCCUACAGGUCUUGCCAGGCCUCCCUCCCGGCCCAGUGAGGCCAGGGGUCCAAGGGUCCCAUCGUCAGGGGUCCCAGGGGUCAGGGAUACCCAGAGUCAGGGAUACCCGGGGUCAGGCGUCCCAGGGGUCAAGGAUACCUGGAGUCAGGGUUUCCAGGGGUCAGAGAUACCUGGAGUCAGGGAUACCCGGAGUCAGGGGUCCCAGGGGUCAGGGAUACCCAGGGUCAGGCGUCCCAGGGAUCAGGGGUCCCAGAGGUCAGGGAUCCCUGGAGUCAGGGGUCCAAGAGUCCCAGCGAAAGGGGUCCCAGGGUCCAGGGGUCAGGAUACCCAGAAUCAGGGGUCAGGGAUACCCGGAGUCAGGGGUCCCAGGGGUCCAAGGGUCCCAGCGUCAGGUGUCCCAGGGGUCCCGGGGUCAGGGAUACCCAGAGUCAGGGGUCCCAGGGAUCAGGGAUACCUGGAGUCAGGGGUCCAAGAGUCCCAGAGUCAGGGGCCCUGGCGUCCACGGUCCCAAGGUCAGAGGUCACAGGGUCAGGGGUCUGCAGUCUCUGCUGCCCGGCCCACCCAGUGAACUGCCACUCAGCGCCCAGGAAACCGAGCAGCCCCUGCACCGGCGGCCACACGGAGAGAAAGCGCCACUGUGACAUCCGCCAACCCCUGUCGCCCGUCCCCCCCACCCCCACUUCAGGACGGGUCAGCACCGCGCCGCCUCCGUGCGGUCCCACACCCGCAGCGGCCGAGCCUCACGACGCCGACAGCCCGAGACGUCCUCCCAGCC
rnacentral:lncRNA from 1 species